GAGCCCCGCUGGUGCAAAUGUCACAAUUAGCUGCAGGGGUCGAGGGGACCAGUUGCAGUGGCGUCAUGGCCAUCGCAAUAUCACGCAAGAUGGUGUGCGAUAUCAUGUGAAAACAGAAACUGAUAAGGAGAACAUCAUGAGUACCCUAACGAUUUUCCGUGUUGCCCUCCGAGACUCAGGGCGUUAUCACUGCCGUGUAAAUAAGACCAACAAAGACAAAGUUGCAGAUAAAAAUGUUACCAUUCAUGUACAGGCUCCUCCUGUGCUGAAGGAAGCUAGGAACUUCACAGUUAGAGCUGGGCUUAAGGCAAAGCUCUCUUGUACUUUUGAAGCCUUCCCUGCUCCUGAGGUGUUUUUGGAUUAAG